AAUCCCUCAAAGAGCAGUCUCCAAUAGCCUAAAUGGAAAUCGCCCUGCCGGGGACAGAGCGGCUGACCUCUCACCACAGCUGGCCCAGGCUCACAGUGACUGAUGGAGUCACACAAGGUCAGGGGCGGCAGCAGGGUUAGCAGAGAGAUUGGCCAGUGUGCCAGCCCAUUCACUAACACCUGGCGCCCUGCCUGUCCCCCAGCCUCGGGGCCUCUGGAGCUACUGUGAGGGAGGAGCCCUCCGCCCUGCUGGGCUUAGCCACCUGGACCCCACAAAGGCACUGGCUGCCCAGAGCCGGCCCCAGAAAGGGCCCAAACCAACAGGGGGGAGUUUCGCUGCUGCAGCUGGACCAGGGAGAAGCUGGUUCGAGUUGAAAAGUUCCCCCCCAGCCUUAUCUUGGACCUGGCUAAGGCUCAGAAGCUGAGGAAAGCGAUGGCACGGGCUCCUUUGCUGGGUCUUACCCUUCUCCCCCACCCACUGCUUCGUUGGCAGGAAGGAGAGAUGGCAAAGGUAAAGAAAGUGAGAAGGCUUUUUGGAGCCAUUCGCUGAUACUGGUCGAAUGUCCUCAUUAACGCAGAAGGUCAAACACUGAUUCCUCCUCCCAAUAAGGACCUCCUCUCCACUCCCUUCUGCUCGUGGUGGAACUGGCCUCCUGGAAUUUCCCGACAUGGGCUCUGCCUUCCCCAGUUGACCUCUCAACCCCUCACUGCCAGUCCCUGUCCUAUUCAGACACCCGCUACGGAAGCCACCUUGUGCCUCACAUGGGACCGCUUGGAUGGGGACCCUGUAGAAAUGGCACAAGUCUGACUCCUCUUUUUUGAGACCAUACUCAGGCUUCCACUGCCACUGGGAGGACUAGUCACACCAGUAUGGCCCGUCUUCUCGUUCUCAUCAAGGCAAAUCCAGUUUGACUCUCUCUUUAGACCUUCCAAGCAGAGUUGUACACCAGUCACUCAGUCCCUUCAUUGCCAGGGAAUUUUCCAAGUGAUUCUCCAAAGGCCUCCUCAUCUGGUUUGGAGGAAGAGGAGAGAAGCACAUACCUCCCUUUCCCCGCUCUGGCUACUCAUUCUCUGGUCUUCCUAGAUUAAUCCCCACUCCCACCCUAUUGUUUGUCCCCAUGUGGGUGAUGAGCUAAGAUUUCUUUUAAAUAAAAACUGAUUUCACAAUCUCUUAGCAUUACUACACAGAUGGCCUCAACCCUUGGGUACUUUGCCAAAACACCAAAAGUCAAAUUUAACAACCUGUUACAUGAGAAAUUGCAAAUUCAGAGUGCCGAGGGAACAGAUAGCAAGGGUACUGGGGGCCAGCCUUCUUUAGUUUACUGAGCUAUUUCCCCCACAACCCUCAGCUAAGGUACCAAGUCCCACCUUUUCUAGGCCUCAGCAGAGAGUGGCUUUCUAGAGGGCAAGUAAGUCUUUGCCAUAGCUCACGAUUCACCCA
ensembl:lncRNA